CGACAAGGACAAUUGAAGUGGAGGUGUGAUCGCUGCAUUGGGAUCAAUGAUUACUUAAGAGACAAAGGUUUGAUUUAGUUGCGGCAAUGGCAAGAGCAUAUUGUGCAGAGGAAGAGGAUGAACCUUAAUGCGUUGAACCUUGUAUACUAGAACCUUGCAGGUGUUUUUGCAAAAGUAUUUUGUUAUGCACAUGUAAAAUUAUUUUGAUGUGCCCUUGUUAGGCGUUGAACCUUAAUGCGUGGAGUCGGUUGAUGAUUUAUUGUAUUUGAUGUGA